CAGUCGCCGCGGUAAUACGUAGGUGGCGAGCGUUGUCCGGAAUUAUUGGGCGUAAAGGGAGCGCAGGCGGACAUAUAAGUCCAUCUUAAAAGUGCGGGGCUCAACCCCGUGAGGGGAUGGAAACUGUAUGCCUUGAGUGCAGGAGAGGAAAGCGGAAUUCCCAGUGUAGCGGUGAAAUGCGUAGAUAUUGGGAGGAACACCAGUGGCGAAGGCGGCUUUCUGGACUGCAACUGACGCUGAGGCUCGAAAGCCAGGGGAGCGAACGGGAUUAGAUACCCGUGUAGUCCCUGUCUCUUAUACA
rnacentral:rRNA from 1 species